rnacentral:rRNA from 1 species
GACGAACGCUGGCGGCGUGCUUAACACAUGCAAGUCGAACGGAGAGGCCCUGCUUUUGUGGGGUGCUCGAGUGGCGAACGGGUGAGUAACACGUGAGUAACCUGCCCUUGACUUUGGGAUAACUUCAGGAAACUGGGGCUAAUACCGGAUAGGAGCUCCUGCUGCAUGGUGGGGGUUGGAAAGUUUCGGCGGUUGGGGAUGGACUCGCGGCUUAUCAGCUUGUUGGUGGGGUAGUGGCUUACCAAGGCUUUGACGGGUAGCCGGCCUGAGAGGGUGACCGGCCACAUUGGGACUGAGAUAGGGCCCAGACUCCUACGGGAGGCAGCAGUGGGGAAUAUUGCACAAUGGGCGGAAGCCUGAUGCAGAAACGCCGCGUGCGGGAUGACGGCCUUCGGGUUGUAAACCGCUUUCGCCUGUGACGAAGCGUGAGUGACGGUAAUGGGUAAAGAAGCACCGGCUAACUACGUG